rnacentral:lncRNA from 1 species
CCACAUGCACGGUAUGAUCCUCGAUGUCAGUGAAAGGUAAUUCUUGAAGAACAGAGAUUUUAAGGAUUGGAGAUAUCACUCGUACAACUAGAAUGCCAGUCACUCUGAAGAUAGCAGGUCCUCUAAGAAAUCCUUCCACAGGAUCUGAAUGUUUACGAGCAAGCUCGAUAACUGUUCCCAUGGGGAUUGUCAAGUAACUGAAGAUAGUAUCAACCAAAUCAUUACCAGACUCCACGAAAAUAAUCUUGUUGCUUCCCUUGUCCACCAAGGCCUUCACGCAAAUAGUAGGAUUAGAAGCCAUUGAUUCUAAGGAUAAGACCUACAACGAACGUUGGCUAAACGAAAAUGGAGUCUAUUAUAAAGCAAUAGGUUUCUUUGGCAGGUGAAAAGCAUAAAGGUGAAUUCAAUAAGUUCUCUUGAUUUAUUGUAGAUCAUUUGAAUCAUGUUGGAAGACGAAGCAUCAGGUGAACCAAAUAAAUACAUUUACCAUUGUAAAUGUGGAAUUUUGAAAAGGAAGUCGUUUAGGUCGAAAUUGCAAACCUCAACGAUGACUUGAAGACUUUUCAAAGCUUCUUUAGCACACUGAGAACACGUCUUGAUACACAAGUGUCAACGUUUCGAUACACUAAUUAUCUCUCUAAUAAAAGUAGGAUCUACAAUACAAGGCCUCGUUUGGCACGCCGUAUAAAGCAUCGGAUAGGAUAAAUAAUACGGGAGCAGUUGUUUGGUGCACUAUCGUACUAAAUAAGCACCCGCUUAAUUAUCCGGUCUAUCAAAUUUUAUACGGUUGACACCGUACUAUUAAAACACCACAAAAGCUCGGGAUAAUUAGUCGGGGUGAUAUCCCUUCCAUCUUCACGACCACCACACCAAACCGACUGCGUCCGUGCUGUAGAUGUCCUGCUCCUGAACUUCUUCAAGCAUCGGAUCCACAUGCUGGUAGUCUAGAUCCAGAUAUGGAUCCAUUUCUACGACCUGAGUUCAGAUCCGGAUUCUCCAUAGCCUUUAGGUUCGAGAGCAGCCUCACCAUCCUCCCUGCUCACCUCGGUCUCUCGAUCCUGGAGCUUGCUCGCAGACCUCGCAGGGGCUAGACGCAGGGUGAUGAGAGUCGCAGUUGACGCAGAGGAAUACGGAGUCGAAGCGACAAAAUAGAGUUGUCGUCGCCGGGGAAGAAGAAUAAGGGAGAGAGAGGGAGGGAGUUUGGGGGUGCCGCGGAGAGAAGCGGGGAAGAAUUAUUUGGGAUGCUUUUGCAGUCGGGGAAGAAGAAGGAAGAGAGAGGGAGGGAGUUUGAUGGGUGCGGAAAGAUCUGCGAAAAAAAAAAAGAUGAUUUCACUUUUUUUUUAAGUUUUAUUCCUCUUAUCCGCUAUAAUACCAAUUUUAAGUUUUAUUCAUCUUAUCCGGUAUAAUACCAAACACAGUAUAAAUAAUACGGUCAUUAAUCCGAUACUGCACCAAACGCUCGACUAAUUUAGUCAAUACUAUCCGGUGGCUAUUUAUCCUAUUCGACAAAAAUAGUCAGUACAGUACGAGCUGCCAAACGAGGCCAGUACAGAGUUGAACAAUAUCACAAGGUUUGCCUAGAUACAACCGAUCUUUAUCAUAAUAGUUCGGCAGCCUUUUACCAAACCAAACCAUACAAAUUCGACAGAAACAAACCGAAACUGGCUAAAGCCAACCAGGUCCAAACACCCUUCGCAACCAGAUCUCAAAUUUUUCAUUUUAUCUCAAACCCAAAUGUUACCAUGUAAAUAAAAUUUAAUCUCACAGAUAGGAAUAUUGUGGAGUUCUUAUGCAGUAACAACAAAAGCAAGCUCUUCUUUGUGUGACCAAUCCUUCCUUAUUGUUCUUGCUUUGGCUCCCUAAGCUUUCCAAUGAAGGUAUUGGUAAGAGCAGAAUCACCAAUAAACGAGGCCACCAAAAGAAGCAACGCCUGCAAAAAGUAACAAACUCUGAAGUUAAAAGAAAUUUAAACAGAUAACUAAUGUUACAUGUCCACAAAAUGGGAUUCCUUCAACUUUGAAGGUGGACGUACGGAUUGGCUCAAUUAAGUGUUCGAUUACAUGUUUGGGAUUAUGGUAUCAUUUUCCAACAAUUGACUACCCUUGUUGUUUAGAGCAAUCAAUAACAUAACAUUGUGGACUGAUGCAAAUCAACAACCGUAACAAGGGAACUCCACUGACAGAUUAGAGAUGUUGGAUAAGAUCACUUAUCAGUCAAGGUGAUAUGUGUUGCCGAUGAUUCAUAAGGAAAUCCCAGAGGGACAUGAAAUAUGGUAACAAAAAUUCCACAUAAACUAAUGAAGCAUAACAUUAGUGGAUGAACAUCAAACUUUAUAAAUGACAAUUCACCUCCCUCUUGCCCAUAUGCACGAUAUGGUCCUCGAUGUCGGUGAAAGGUACCUUCAAUUCUUGAAGAACAGACAUUUCAAGGAUUAGAGAUAACGGUCUUACAACUAGAUUGUCAGUCACUGUGAAGGUAUCAGGUCCUUUCAGAAAACCUUGAGCACUUUUAUUGCUAUCUUCAUGAGAUUUGGGAUAAAAAACAUUAAGUUUAACUGACUCCGCUGAAGUAUUAUCAGGAAUACAGGACUUAUCAGUAGUUAACUUCUCGUUGAGAUAAUAAAAUGAGGUUUCCUCGAUUCCUAACAGAGGGUUCUCGUAUCGAAAACCAGGUGCAAGCUUUGGAUUGACCAACAAUUCCUUGUGGAAAUUUGACUUCAAGUAUUGCUCAUCAAGAUCUUCGACACUCUUGUACAACUGAUCGAGACAGCCUUUCCAUGAAACAUUCCGCAUCUUUUCUAAUAUAUACCCAAGUGGGAGAGUCGAGAAACUGCAGAGUAGAUUGACAAAAUCCUCUUGUGCCUCUGCAUAACAAACAAUCUUCUUAGACUUGCUAACUACAAGCUUAAGAGAAAUGUUUUUCUCUUCCUCAUUGAUUGUGUCACCAUGCAUUUGAGAAUCAAUCGAUAUUCCUUGACUGGAAUGUACAUCUCCCAAACUUGGUUUUGGUUCGUUUUUCAGAAGAAUUUCAGUCAAUGGUGUCUUUGAUACAAACGAAUGCAUAAGCAAAUUCAAAGCCUGGAAAAAGAGACAUCAAGCUAGUUAGAAACCACUUCUGUUGUUGAUGGAAAAAAAAAAAAAAAAAUUGAAGGCACACCCCACAAGAGGAAUACCUCCUGAAUUCCCAUAUUGAAAGUCAACUCCUCCGUAGUUUUAGAAUCUGUGACCCCUAGCUUCGAAAACAAACAGAUGCUUGUUGCACUUACUGGGGAAAUGACCUGUAAAUCAUCGGUAAUUAUCAGCCUGGGUCUCUCUUUCACAAAGACGCCUCCAACUUGAGUAUUAUCCACUGGAAUCUUCCAACCAAAAGUAGAAGCACAGGAAGGACAGAUGACACUUUGAUAAAAAAAAAAAAAAAGGUCGUACCCAGUGCACAAGGCUCCCGCUUUACGCAGGGUCUGGGAACAGAUGACACUUUGAUAAUAGCUUAAAAAGCAUCCUUCAUAGCACCAAAAGUACUGUGUUGGCCUAUUAUUGUCAAUUUUCAACUUGAGGUUCUGGCAUUGAAGAUCAGCAGAAUUGCAGGGAAGCAACAACAUAUCUCUACAUUCAACACAAGCUUUUUUUCCGCCAUGAUUGAAAGAAAGUAUAAAGUCGGAUUGCUAUCCCGUUGUUGAACAAAUUCAGUAAGCAAUUGUCACAAAUAUUUGUUUUAGGAUAAUGACCACCGAAAUAAAGCCUGUCUAGUCCGUGCAGAUGUUAAGUCGUUUCCCUCCUUUAACAUGAAAGAAGCUUCAAAAUACAAACCAACUUCAGGGAAAGAGAUAAAAUCUUGCGAAUAGCUUAAGCUAUAGGAAACAGAUUAUCUAAAAUCGGCAAACCCUAUUUUUAUCUGAAAAAUCUUGCGAAUGGUUUGGAGAGAAAGUUAAGUGCUAAAAUGUAAAGUGAUCGCUUUGUUUCACAACAUUUUCUUUCCACCAUUGAGUUUGACAUUAUUGUGUAAUUAAAAAAAAGGAAAGUACAGUUAGGUUGGCCUCACCGUUAUUGCUUUCCACAAGAAUAGAUGUUACUUGAAAGCAGAGAAAUUUUGUAGUGCGCCGGAAAUACAGCUUAGUACACUAAAUGUUAUAAAAAGGUCGUACCCAGUGCACAAGGCUCCCGCUUUACGCAGGGUCUGGGAGAGGUGAAUGUCGGCUAGCCUUACCUCUAUUUAUAAAGAGGCUGCUCCCAAGUCUCAAACCCGAGACCUACGUAGAUGUUAUAGUUAAAAAAAAUUUGUUUAGGGCUCUAACCACUUGUUAUGAUAUUUUGUGUAUUAAAUCGUGUUUUCAAUACACUAAAAAAUCUCUCCCAAAGCAGAAGUAAUACAAUUUUAUAUCUGAAUGUCAAAACGUUGGAAUCCAGCUCACUAAUGUCUUCUUAGUUAAGGAAUGAGAUUGAUACUUUUAGGCGGGAUGUUUUAGGUGACAAAGCACUCGUGUUAAUAAAAAUAUAUAUUGACAUUGAAUCACUGGUGCCCUUUUUGAAAAGCUAAAGCUAAAAUGGUGGCCAAAAUGGUGACCCGUAACAGGCAAAAAAAGGUUUGAUCUUUUAAUUUCAUGUUUUUUUUUCUUAUUUGCCCUUGUACAGCUGAUCUGUUUGUAGUGAUUCAGUCUGAGUACUCUGCUUGAUAUGUUAAUAUAUAUUCAUCUAAUUUAGUCUGAAAAACUUACCCGUAACGUUAUAUCAUUAUAUCAUUGACACAUAACGUCAUAAUAACGGUGUAUCCGUACUAUUAAAUUUAGGGAACUUUAACGAAAAGCUCCCAGUUCACUUCAACGAAAAACCACAUUUUAACACUAAAAAGUCAAUCUUGGUACUAUUCACUUUACCCUUUAUUUUGUCCUUAUCAUUAAAACUCAAAGUUUUCAAACCUUUUUCAUUAGUUUUCCUUUAAAUUUAGAGGUUGAGAUAUGAGGGAUGAGGGAAGGGAAAUAAGGACAAUAGGUGGGGUGUGUGUGGGUGUGGUGGAUGCAAGGAGACCAUAUUUUGUAGAUCACAUUUAAAUUAUUUAUCUAAUAAAAAUAGGAUCCACAAGUACAGAGCUAAACAAUAUUACAAAGUUCUGCUAGCUACAACCGAUCUUCAUCCAAUUCUUCGGCAGGCUUUUACCAAACCACAGCAUACAUAUUCGACAGAAAUUAACCGAAACUGGCCUAAAGCCAACCAGGUCCAAACUCCCUUCGCAACUAGAUCUCAUAUUUUUCACUUUAUCUCAAACCCAAAUGUUACCAUGUAAAUAAAAAUUAGUCUCAGACAAACAGGAAUACUGUGGAUUCCUAUGCAGUAACAACAAAAGCAAGCUCUUCUUUGUGUAACCAAUCCCUCUUUAUUGUUCUUGCUUUGGCUCCCUAAGCUCUGAAAUGAAGGUAUUGGUAAGAGCAGAAUCACCGAUAAAUGAGGCCGCCAAAAGAAGCAACGCCUGCAAAAAGAGUAACAAACUCUCUAACGUUAAAAGAAUUUAUACAGAUGACUAAUCUUAAAUGUCCACAAAAUGGGAUGUCUUCAACUUCCAAGGCUUCAACUUUCAAGGUCAACGUAUGGAUUGACUCAAUUAAGUAUUUGAUUACUUGUUUGGGAUUACGGUAUUAGAGAUGUUGAAUAAGAGGACGAAUCGGUCAGGGUGAUUUGUGUUGCCGAUGAUUCAUAAGGAAAUCCCGAGCGACAUGAAAUCUGGUAACAGAGAUUCCACAUAAACUAGUAAAGCAUCACAUAAGUGGCUGAACAUCAACUGCCUGUACUAGCUAGUUUACCUAUCUUGAGUCAAAUCUACGAUUUUCUGUUGACAUUUUCUAAAUUGAAUGUAAGCUCUCGAUUUUAUGAUGAACCAAUGGCCUAAAUUGUUAAAAGAACUUGCUAAUCUGAAACCAACGGAUUCUUUCAGUAAGGUUAAUCAAACAUUAUAAUGAGAACUCACCUCUCUCUUGCCCACAUGCACGGUAUGAUCCUCGAUGUCAGUGAAAGGUACCUUUAAUUCUUGAAGAACAGAGAUUUCAAGCAUUGGAGAUAUCGGUCUUACAACUAGAUUGUCAGUCACUGUGAAGAUAGCAGGUCCUCUCAGAAAUCCUUGAGCACUUCUAUCUUUAUCUUCAUGAGAUUUGGGAUCAACAACAUCAAGUUUAACUGACUCCACUAAACUAU